CAUGGUGGGAGUUACUGAGUAAGAGGGAAAGGCAGAUAGAUCUGCAGGAAGUUUUGGGAAUGGGCUGCUAGGGAUGGAAGCGACUAAAAAGUGAAUCCCUUUCCUAGCCCGCCCAUUCCUAUGAUUUCCUGUGGUUCCUUUCUUUCCCUACCUUGCUUGUUUGAUUAAAUCCAAUUCAUCUGAUCCCCUGCUUUCUGCACUGGUGGAAAUUUAGCAGCUCAGAGUGGAAGAUAUUAAUUAAGCUGCCGGUUUUACUGAGGUUUUUUUUUUGAAAAAAAGCAGCUCUCUGAUCUUUUUGGUUUCCAUGCGUGCUUAUUCAUCGUUGAGAAAAAUUCUGAAAAAAAAAAAGGAAGUGAAAAAGAGAAAUACUCUGUCCUUGAGAAAGACGAACAGGAGACCUUAAGCAUAUGGGUUUAUCGGCGGAAAGACCUUUGGUGCUUGGAUCACAGGAUGAAAAACUACAACUUUGUGAAGGAACUUCAAUUUCUACAGGAACUAAUUGAAGUAGAUCUUACAAGUAUGAGUAGAUCUUGGCUUUAAAUUCUAUUUAGAUGCUUCUGCAACAAAAUUGAACGUACAUAAGCCAAAUCUAAAGCAGGUCAUAUAACCAAAUGCUAAACUUGGUUCAAAAUCACUCACUGAAGUGGCUUGGAAAUCCAUGAACAAUUAGCUAUACAAUUCCUCUGGAUGGUUUUUUUUUUUUGCCUUUAUUUUUUGGGGAUUAAAUACUUGGAAUGAAUCCUGAACUUCCACCA